CCACGAGGGCUCAACGUCUCCUUCCUCCAAUCAAUGAAAUUGAUCUUCUCGUGAAGAAGCGAGAAUAUUAUUAUUAGACGAGAAGACCCCAUGGAGCUUUAAACUUAUUACCAAUUACUUAACCGCUAAACCAUAAUAUGUAGUAAAAAUGUUCUUAAUAGUUUUCGGCUGGGGUGGCCCUGGAGUAAAAUAAACCCUCCAGAAUGAACGGAAUAAGACCCUAAUCUAAGAAUUACAGCUCAAAGAAUCAAAAAACUGACAUUAUUGAUCCAAUUAAUUGAUUAACGAAACAAGUUACCCUGGGGAUAACAGCGCAAUCCAUUUUGAGAGCCCCUAUCAACAAAUGGGUUUACGACCUCGAUGUUGGAUCGGGGUAUCCCGGUGGCGCAGCCGCUACUAAUGGUUCGUUUGUUCAACGAUUAACAACCCCACGUGAUCUGAU
rnacentral:rRNA from 1 species